UCUAAGCUGAGAGCAGGGUCUCUGAAAGAUAGAUGAGGACCAGUGAACAGUCACAGUGAAGUUCCCAUGGUCGCACAGGUGCCACGUGGAAAUGCGGAAGCUACUACACUGCCGUUCUGUCUCACGGGUCAAGCCCUGUGGCCUCGACUUUGGCUUUCUCAGAAAUACCUGGCAGAAAAAGCUGAAGUGAGUAGUGGUGUAUAUUGUUUCAUGGCUACAAAAAGUGACAGAUCUUCACCUCAGGUGGACAAAACAGAAGAUCCUGGUCCAUAGCGGGAGCGUGAGGUGGUGGGUCUUCCCGGCAUGGGGAUCAUGAUGCAAAGAAAGCUCGUCCAGAACCAGAGAACCGUUCGACUCUGCCCGGCUGGCCCCGGCAGAUUGGCGCCCAGACGUGGGGCUUGAGAUACAGGGAAUCCGUGAAGGACACUGCAGUGUUUGGCUCUCGAGCUCGCAUUAAAUAGAAGGGGUGCGGUGAGUAAAUCCCAGAAUAAAAAUGGGACAAGGCAUUAGCCUAAUGUUUUCUUUAUGGAACUUAAUUAAAGGUAGUCUGUAUAAGCAACAGGAAAACUGAAAAAGCUAAACUUUCAGGCUCAGAGAGAAGGAGGUUAGAAAGAUGGCAGGCUUCAAGAGAAAAUGUUAUUAUACCAUCAGCUCCUCCAGAGGAGUUGUAUUGCCCUUCUGAUGACAAUAAUUUCUUGCCAGAAGGAGACUUUGAAGAAGACUUGCAACCUAAUGAGGUUGCAGAGUUGGAGGAAGAACCAGAUCAGUACUAUUCUGAGAGAUACCCUCCAAUUCAGGAUAUGCAUGUUAAAAAGCGUAAGCUUUGGCAAAAAGAAAUUAAAAAAGACUGGAGUAUGGUUUGGAGGAAAUAAACAGAAAAAUUGGAGAAUUAACUACUAAGGAAAAUGAGACUCAAUCUUGUACUCCAAUCCCAUCAUUGGUGGAAGGCUUAGGCCCUCCUCCUGGGAAUACUACAGUUUCAAUGGCCCAGAAGACAAGGGGACAUUUCCCUUUGUCCACUGUAUGAACAUCUGUAUCUGCUUUACAAGCUUCUUUACAAGAAGCCAGGCAGAAUGGAGAAGACAUGUCUGAGUUUUAUAGUUUUCCAGUUCUGGAGCAACCCGAUGGACACGGUAAUAUGGUGAGAGUCCAUGCUCCUAUACCUUUUAAACAGAUAACAGAAUUAAAAUCUGCAUGCUGCCAAUACGGUCCUACAGCACCUUUCACCCUGUCUCUGCUGGAAUCCAUUUCUACUGAGGCUCUCUGCCAGGGGACUGGAAACAGUUAGCAAGAGCAUGCUUAUCAGGAGGAGAUAAUUUAUUAUGGAAGUCAGAUUUUGCAGAGCAUUGUCAAGCUACAGCGAACUUAAUCGAGCUCAGCAAAUUCCUAUAACUUAUGACAUGCUUGCUGGAGAAGGAAUCUACAGGGAAAUAGGACAGCAAUUGGAUUUUGAUGUGGCCAUUUAUGCUCAGGUCAAUACUGCUGCCCGGAGGGCCUGGAAUAAGCUUCCACAAGCUGGUAGACAGGUGGAGGAUUUGUCUAAAAUCUGUCAGGGACCUGACAGAUUUUAAAAAAUUUCAAGAUUUUGUGGCAAGAUUAAUGCAAGCAGCAAACAGACUUAUAAGUGAUGAAAAGUUUGGAUUGUUAUUAGUGAAACAAUUGGCUUAUGAGAAUGCUAACAGUGCUUGCCAAGCAGCCUUGAGACCAAAGGCCAAGGAUUGGGGUACUACGUUACAGACAAUAGUACUCAUCCAAAUAAUUAGGUUAAUAACGGCUAAAAUUCAAAGCUCUCUGGCUGCAAGGUAUUUGUCAGUUCUUUCUGGUAAGGCUCAGCCAAUUUAUUAAAAUAUCAACUAAAAUAAACAACUGGGCUUUGUUUGUUACAGCAUAAAUUGGCUAAGACCCCAUUUAAAAUUAACAACAGGAGAACUAAAACCACUUUUUGACAUUUUAAAAGGAGAGGCUAAUCCUUUGUCAAAAAGGGAACUUACCAAAGAAGCUCGUGAUGCUUUGCAAAAGAUAGAAUUAGCUAUUGAAAAGCAGCAUGUUCAAUAUAUUGAUUAUUCAAAAGAAUGGGGUGCAUAUAUUUUGGCUACUGUUCAUACUCCAACUGCUGUAUUGUGGCAAGAAGGACCAUUAUUAUGGUUGCACCUGCCUGUGUCUCCUGUUCGAGUUCUGACACCAUAUUAUGAAGCAGUGGCUAGUUUAGUUCAAAUGGCUUGCACAGAAUCUCGUAAAUAUUUUGGUAGAGAGCCCUCCUUAAUUGGAGUCCCUUUUACCAAACAGCAAGUAGAUUGGUUAUUUCAAAAUGUAGAUUGUUGGGCGAUAGCUUUUGCUCAUUAUUUAGGACGUAUUGAUAAUCAUUAUCCAAAAGAUAAAUUAUUUCAAUUUGCCAAUGAGCAUGCUUUUGUAUUUCCUAAAAUAAUUAAACAAAAGCCAUUACCUCAAGUUCCAACAGUAUUCACUGAUGGAUCUUCAAAUGGAAAAGCUGUUUAUGUACUAGAGGAACAAACUUUUGUUUUGCAAACAUUGCCAGCCUCAGCUCAAGUUGUAGAAUUACAAGCUAUUGUUGCAGUCUUUAUAAAUUUGGCUUCUACCUCUUUCAACUUGUAUACUGAUAGCCACUAUAUAGCUAAAGCUUUACAAGUCCUAGAGACUGUAACGUAUGUUAAUACAGCUAAUAAACAAAUACAAGAUCUAUUUAGAGAGAUUCAACAAAGUAUUUGGAGUCGUGUGCAGCCUUGUUACAUAGGGCAUAUUAGAGCUCAUUCAGGGUUCCUGGACCUUUAACUUUAGGAAAUGAUUUAGCAGAUCUAGCCACACGUUUGGUUGGAUUAACUCAACAAGAAUUGGCUCAAAAUUCUCAUGCAUUACAUCAUCAAAAUAGCAAGAGCUUAAGAAAACAAUUUAAUAUUACCAGAGAAGCCACUAGACAAAUUGUAAGAUCAUGUUCCUCUUGCCCUGAACAUUUUAAUGUACCUCAUUAUGGUGUCAACCCUAGAGGUUUGACUCCCAAUCAUUUGUGGCAAAUGGAUGUAACUCAUGUCCCAGAAUUUGGGAAACUAAAAUAUGUCCAUGUAACAACUGACACUUUUUCAGGAUUUAUCAUGGCAACUCCCUUAACAGGGGAAGCCACCAAACAUGUUAUAAGUCAUUGCUUAAAGUGUCUUGCUGCAAUUGGUAUACCUUCUAUUAAUAUAAGUCAUAAAACGGGCAUUCCAUGUAAUUUCCAGGGCCAAAAUAUUAUAAAAUGAGCCCAUGGAACUCUUAAUAACCAAUUGCAAAAAAUAAAAAAGGGGGGAGUCAUCCCCAAAUAUUAAUCAUGCUCUCUUUAUUUUAAAUUUUUUGAAUGUGGAUACACAAGGCCGUUCUGCGGCUGAUCGAUUGUGGCAUCCUAAUAUCAAAGAUAAUUUUUGCCCAAGUAAAAUGGAAAGAUCCAAUUACUGGAAUAUGGCAGGGCCCCGACCCUGUAUUAAUAUGGGGAAGAGGGUAUGUUUGUGUUUUCCACAGGACGCAGAGGGAGCCAGGUGGAUCCAGAGAGGCUGGGACGGUUUGCAGUUGUUCCCCAGAAAGAUGUUCCCGCUGCAGACGACCGUAAACUCUGCCCUGACCUAGACUGAAAAGCUGCAUUGGACCUGAGCUCCUGACACCGCUCUUGCUUCAUUCUGCUCCUGGGAGAAGACAUCAUGAAGAAGAACCUCUUAUAUAAUAAACUGGACUAGACUGUUUUGCUACAAACUUCAACAAAAUCAAAGGAGAACUAACUGUGAAACUUUAAUCUGGCUCUGGUUUUCAGCAGAGCAAAACAGACUUGCUUCAGGAACUAUUGGGGGUCCUGCAACUACCUAUGUAAAUUCUCCUUUUGUUUUGCUGCUUGGAGAUCUUAAGCUUUCAAAUGGUUCUGUUUGCUCAACAGCCUUUUACUGUGGUUCCUCUAAAUGUUUCUCAGACUUGGUAAUUUGCACAGGGAGUCACCUGCUAGUCACUUUUGGAGUGUUACUUUGGAUUUGGCUUACGAUAGGAGACGUGCUCCUAUCAGUGACAACAAAAUCUGCCUGAAGGCCUUUUGGUGUGUCAAAGCUGAGCUGAUCUGCACAAGAUCAUAUCACAGUGUCCACCCUAGCAGAGGUUGGUAGUCAAAGACGGGUAAGUUUUCUCUGGGGUGUAUGAAAAUCCAUGUACAAAUAUUGACCCAAAAAUGGGGACAUGAAUAAAAAAUAUAUACCUUUCGAGAGAAACAACCUAAGACAGGCACAAUCUUCUGCUCCAUAACUAUUAAGUUAUGGACAAUUUUAAAAAUAUAAAAAAGGGGAACAUGUCGGGAGCCAUGACUCAGCGGCCUGCUUUGAGAUUUGGCUUUUAGGAGGCCUUUACUAAGGGCAGAGGAGAACUUGCAAGUCCAUCUCCUUUUGUUGGUGACAACAGGUGGGAUAGCUUGUGAGGGUUACACCUCUUCCUCAGGCUCCUUGUGCAAAUUAACCUAUUGUUCUGAGGUGUUUUACUGGCAAAAAGUAACUACUCAAAAAAAAAACGUGGUCAGAAGGCUGGAGGCAGAGGAGGCAGGCAGAGACUUGAGACUUGCUGCUGGCACUGCUUGCUGCAGCAGUCUGCCUUUUUCUGUGGCUGUCGAGUCUGGACCUUUAAAAAGUUUCCUGUGUGCUGUGUGUUUAUUUUCUUAAUUUUAAUCCUCACACCCAACUCAAGAACCGUUCGACUCUGCCCAGCUGGCUCCGGCAGGUGUGUUAUGGCAGAGGGGCUUUACAAAGCUGGGCCCAGCACCACCUAUGAACUAGUCUUGCUUUUGAACCAGGGUCUCCCUUUGUAUUCCAGGAGAACCUCCAACUCGUGAUCCUCCUGCCUCCACCCCUCUAGUGCUGGGGUCACAGGCAAGCAUCAGUGUUCCUGGCAUACAAUAAUGUUUCUUAAAUGUAGCUGUUCUAUUUUGACCUCUAGAAACAAACGCAUGCAGAGCCUUCCCAGCAUAAUGCUUGCCUAGGACUUUAACGCUUGCUAGAGCCUGGCUCAUCUUACUUUUCCUGUAACCAGCCUUUGUUCCUCAUCAUUUUGGUCACACAAUGACCUAUCCUUGUGUCUGAAUGCUGGGUCAUGUUGCUGAAUUUCCUAUUGUGUGUGGUUUUAAUAUGCUAUGAUAUUCUAUAAACAUACCUUUACAGUCUUUCCUCCUCCUCAUAAAGUGUAGUGUUUAGCAUCAUCUGCUCUUUGGGAGGAUUCUUGAGGAGGAAAUAUUACUCUGAUCAAUUUGCUACACAAUCACCAUGCCUGUUUCUCGCAGAAAUUACUGCAUGAGCUGGAGAUAUGGCUUAGUUCACUUGCCAGCAUGUGUGAGUCCCUGGAUUCAGUCUCUGGUAUCACACAUAUACACACAAGUAAUUUACUCUAUGUAAGUAGAUAGGUUUUCAUUAUUUUGUGGCUACUGAGAAACUCAGGAUAACAUAGGUAUUGCUUUAGUGCUGACUAGAAUCGGAUAUUUUCUUCAUUGCUGGUCUUGAACUAUAUCUUCAGCCUUAGAAAGAUUCUUUUUUUUUAAUUUUUAUUAUUAGUUACAUUUUUUCUUUUCCUUUCUUUCUUUCUUUCUCCUUCCUUCCUUCCUUCCUUCCUUCCUUCCUUCCUUCCUUCCUUCCUUCCUUCCUUUCUUUCUUUCUUUCUUUCUUUCUUUCUUUCUUUCUUAUUAGUUACAUUUUAUUAACUGUAUCCCAGCUGUAUCCCGCUCCCUCAUUCCCUCCCAAUCCCACCCUCCCUUCCUCAUCUCCUCCCUGCCCCUUUCCAAGUCCACUGAUUGUGGAGGGCCUCCUCCCCUUUCAUCUGACCCUGUUUUAUCAGGUAUCUUCAGGACUGGCCGCAAAGUCCUCCUCUGUGGCCUAGCAGGACUCCUCCUCCCUUGCGGGGGGUGUGUCAAAAAGCCUGCCAUUGAGUUCCUGUCAGAAAUAGUCCCUGUUCCCUUUACUAUGGGAAACCAAUUGUUUUACUGAGCUACCACGGGCUACAUCUGAGCAGAGGUUCUAGGUUAUAUCCAUACAUGGUCCUUGGUUGGAGAAAUAGUUUCAUAAAAGACCCCUGUGCCCAGAUAUAUUUGGUCCUUGUGGAGCUCCUAUCCUUUCCAUGUCAUACUAACUCCCCCUUCUUUCAUAUGAUUCCCUGCACUCUGCCGAAGGUUUGGUUAUGAGUCUUAGUAUCUGCUUUGAAACACUGCUAGGUAGAGUCUUUCAGGGGCCUUCUGCACUAGGCUCCUGUCCUGUUACUUGUUUUCUCCUACGUCCAAUGUACCUCCCAUUUGUCUUUCUAAGUGAGGAUUGAUCAUCUUACCCUGGGUCCUCUUUCUUGUUUAUCUUUUUUAGGUGUACAGAUUUCAUUAUGUUUAUCAUAUCUUAUAGGUCUAUAUAAGUGAGUAUAUACCAUGUGUGUCUUUCUCCUUCUGGGAUACCUCAUUCAGAAUGGUCUUUUCUAGAUCCCACCAUUUGCCUGCAAAUUUCAUGAUUUCCUUGUUUUUGAUUGUUGAGUAGUAUUGCAUUGAGAAAGAUUCUUAUACCACACCUUUAUUUCCAUCAAAUUUUCUUCUCGUCUUACUUUACUGUCCUGACCUUUGGGAAAAAGGGGCAGUUGAGGCUCAUUAACAUUUUUUAACUGAUCUUUUUAUAGUACCAGAGAUUGAACCUAGGCCCUUGCAUAUGAUGGUCAAGUGUUUCCACUGAUCUUCACCUCCAUCUUAAAAAUGUUUAUUCAUUGCAUGCCGUGGAUGUCUAGGGGUGCCUGUGUCAUGGUGUACUUGUGGAGGUCAGAUCACAGCCUUGAGAGUUGGUUCUCUACUUACAUUUUUGUGUGGGUUCCAUCCUGGUUAUCAGGCUUACACAGCAAACACCUUUACCCUUCGAGCCACCUUUUAAUUUUUGUUCAACCCACAUUUUGAUAAAUUGCCUAGGCUAUUCUUGAACUCAUUCUGUAAUCAGGGUAGGCUUUGAACUUUCAAACCUUACGCCUCAUCUCUCCAGGGACUUUAGGGAUUACAGGCUUUCAUUGCCAGGUCUUGCUCAUUUUUGUCUUUUAAAAUAAUUAGUUCCAUAGCCUACAUAGGAGGAUAAUACUCCUCCCAGAAGCCACGGCUAACCAGUUAAACAAAAGAAAACAAAACAGUGCCAAGUACACGAUAUUUCCCCUACAGUUGUUAAUCAAGGGGAGCCUGGAUACCAUUAAGGCAAUACAGGCUGUUGCCAUUUCUCUUGGUUACCUAUCAAAAAGUAACAGAGCAACCCUAGUGUUGAAGGCAGCAUACAACUCUGGCCAUAGGACUUGAAGAAAUCAAGCCGGUACUGACCAAGCAGCUUCUUUCCUGUUGAUUAGCUUUCAUAUUACGAAAAGAUGCUAUGGAGGCUGUUUGAAGAGUAAAGUCAUCAGUAAUCUUGAGAUGAACCUGCAAAUCUGUAAUAAGGACUCUCCUGGCACGAACAUGCCCAUGGGUACAAUAACGGCAUGAAUGGUAUUGAUGUAACCAACGAUUUUCUUAUAGAAUUUAAGGCCUUUCCUCCACUAGAGAAAACCCAUAAUUCGUACUGUAAAUCUCUCCAAGGACUUGUGGCUAGAACAUACAAUGACUCUAGAACUGAACUUAGUACUUUUAUUUUGCUUAAUGGACAUAGCAUCAAAAUGUCUGCUAAGUAUAUAUCCCUUUAUCUGUAGAUGUAUUAUCUAAUCCAAAGAUUAAUUAGAAUAGUUCUCAGACAUCACCAGAAAAGCCUUCCCCCCCCUUUGGAUGGCAAUUAACACAGAGUCUUACAACUAGUGAAAACACAAAGAAAAAAAAUGUCUGAAGAGUGCUCAGCCAUAAAUGGGAUACCUGUCUCAAACCUUCUCUCCCUAAGUAGCCCAGGGAACAUUUCAGAUGAGGGGGCAGAAUGAUUGUACGGCCAGAGUUCCAGGAAAACGGGGCACUGGACCCGACAAGACUGCUGCAUUCGCAGUAACUGUGGUUGCCUGCACAAGACCUGCAUAAGAUUAACCCAGUCACCAUCCCAGCACAGCUGGGGAAGGGGCACAUAACUGCCCCUCAACUGAGGCACUAUCGAUAGCUGGUAGUUGCUAGGGAAGAGAGAGCCUAUUUUCUUAGGGCUGUGAGCCCUAGUAGUUUGACCAUGCUCCAGUGGAUGAUUCCACACUAUUCUACAUCUGAACAGCAUUCCUACCAUCUGAAUAGCAGAAAAAGGACUUCAUGGAAUAUGUAUGUAACUUAUAACAUAUAUAAGCAUUUAUGGAAAUACACGCAUGCAUACACAUCUGAAGUUGGAAAGCGAAUGUUGGUGAAUCUUUGGGAGGAGUUGGAGUGGGGACAUUAGGAGUGAAUGAAUGACUAAUAUUGUAUGUAUAGAUGAAAUUCUGAAAAAUAUAAACCUAUUAUACUUUAAAGGAUAUGUAUGUAUGCAUGUACGUAUAUAUGUAUCACAAACCUGGUGUGUUGGGCCAUGCCUGAAGUCCAAGCACUCACUAAGCUCAGGUAAGACUGUCAUGAGUUUGAGGCCAGUAUGAGUUAUGUGACAAAACACUAUCUCAGUAAGAACACAGUGAGGCAGGAUGCUUGAAAACAACUCAUGUAUUCUUCAGCCAUUUCAAAUCCCUUUUGGAUUUAGGUGAAAGAAAAAUGAAAAUGUUAAAAUUAAUGUUAAACUUUAAUUUAAACUUUCAGAGUCAUUUUUUUGUCAAUUUAAAAAUCAGCCCUCGGAUCCAACUUUGCCAGCUUUCUGUGUCUUCAUUCCUCACUGCAUUUUUCUUUGACUUCUUCCAUCAAUACUACUUUGGACUUUACUAAACAAUUUUAACACA